AUGCUUGUUUUGGCAGCACAUAUACUAAAAUUGGAACAGUACAGAGAAGAUUAGCAUGACCACUACACGAGAUGAUAUACAAAUUUGUGAAACAUUCCAUUUUUUU